UAAAGCUCUUUUACCCGGGAUGAUAAUGACAGUACCGGGAGAAUAAGCCCCGGCUAACUUCCGGUGCCAGCAGCCGCGGUAAUACGGAGGGGGCUAGCGUUGUUCGGAAUUACUGGGCGUAAAGCGCACGUAGGCGGCGAUUUAAGUCAGAGGUGAAAGCCCGGGGCUCAACCCCGGAAUAGCCUUUGAGACUGGAUUGCUUGAAUCUUGGAGAGGCGGGUGGAAUUCCGAGUGUAGAGGUGAAAUUCNUAGAUAUUCGGAAGAACACCAGUGGCGAAGGCGGCCCGCUGGACAAGUAUUGACGCUGAGGUGCGAAAGCGUGGGGAGCAUACAGGAUUAGAUACCCUGGUAGUCCACGCCGUAAACAGAUGAUAACUG
rnacentral:rRNA from 1 species